CAGACCACCGAAGAGGCAGCAUGUAACUUGCCCAGCAGAGAAAGAGAACACAGUCGGAGGAAAGCUCUUCCAUUUCACCCAAGUUCGCCUCUUAGGCCCAAGGAAACCAAGGUCUGAAGAGCAGCAAUCAAGGUUCUGUCACCCAUUAGAAGCAGCCUGGCUUUGACUUCUCCGACACCUGGCAAACAUCACUGGGACUCAGCCACUGACAUCUCAAGAGAUGCUUGGGACUGAGAGUCACAUCUGUGGAGUGUCAGACAUUUCAAAAGCCUCUAUCCUUACUUCGGAGCAAGAAAAGGAUGAUUUGAUCGCAGGACCAGAACCUCAUGAGGGUCUAUGAAUUCUGAAUUCUAGUGUGUCUAGUCAACAAUCAACCAAGGUCCGAGCUUCUCCUGGGAACCACAGUCUACAUGACCGGGAAUGGCGGAGUCAAUCAAGUCCCUGCCACCACGGAACUGCUAAAUCCUAGAAACAAGUCAACAGAAACAUUUGCAAUUUAAUAGCAAUCAAAUAUUAUUUUAGAAAAUGAUAAAUACAACUAAGACAGCUAAAGUGAGGGGUGAAACGUGGAUGGUGCUGUGUUCUUGGGGAGGUGGGAAGGAGCACCCGUGAGAAAGAUCAUAAUAGAAAUGGAUUUAGGGACUUGAGGGACCAAGGAAAGGUCAGAGUAACAGGGGCCCUUGGAUGUGCACAGUGUAGGGAGAGGGGUUUACACGCCUUGGAGAGGGAUGGAGAUUAGACAAGCAUAGGCGAAUCUGAGCAGAGAUUUUGAAGUAUUUUAACUGCUCUCUUCUAAGAAAUAGACCAGGAGGAGGAAGAGCAGGAGGAAGAAAAACAGUUUAGGUCCAUUGUCAGAGUGACGAGGGCCUGGGGUGAAGGCCGCUAGCUAUGGUCCUGACUGCCUUGUGGACCUCUGUACCCAAUCCCUAAGCAAAGUGGACACUUGGUAAGCAACAAAGGAGCAGAGGAGUGUAGUCCUGACCCGGGGGCACCCACAGCUUCCAGGGGAGCCCAAGACAGAGCUCCUUCAGCUGUGACUAAAAUGAAUGGUGGCCAUGUUUGCAGGAGGAUUGAUAUGAAAGGAAUAUUUUACUGGCAGAGCCCUGGAGGAAGCCAGGUACUGCAGCUGGGACCUGCAGAGACUCCUGGGUACCUGAUGGGAUAGAGUUGUUGAGGGAAAAAAAAGGAGCAGUCUGGUGCGGCACUCUGACCACUGACUUACAUCCUGGGAGUUGAGAAAUACCAUCUUUAUUUGGGACUCAGAUCUGCCCCUUGUCUCUAAGUAAAUGCCUGCAGGAAAUUCUCUUUGGCUUCCUUCAAAGCAUACUCAGAGAUUCCUUUCAGCUGCCCUUUCUGUUGGCUGUGCCAUAGACAGGGAUGGGCCCGAUACCCUCCACACCCUGGGUCUAUCCAUCCGGAAGUAUUGAGUCAACCGCCGUUGCCCAGAAUCUACCUCAGUCUCUUCCCACACCUCAAAGAAACCGUUCCCAGGAAUGAGGUGGGGCAGCAGGAGGAGAGGGCUAGGUGUGUGCCUGAAGAUCUCAGGGGUGGGAGGGAACUGGGAUCAGGAGCCCGGGCCUCUAGCUUGCACAGGGAUGCCCAGACAGCCUGCGACACAGCUUACUGGAUUCCAUGGUCUGAGGUAGGGACAAUCUAUGUUUCUCAUCAGUUCCCAGGGAUUCAGAACCCUCCAGGAUCACCCUUCAGGAAUAUUGUUCUAUAGGAAACCACAGAAGGUUUGCAGGAGAGAAAGGGUAGUUUUAGUCAUGACUUAUAGAAUUCCCAGCCCUGGGCUAAGCGUGUUGUGUUGAAUAAUGCCUUUUAAUCCUCACCCAGCCCUGGGAACUAGCAUCACAUUUGUGAUAUUGAAACAGAUGAGAUUUAUGAAGACUGGAAGACUCGCUCAAAGUCACAUAGCUUACAAGUGACCCUUGGCCCAACUCUCUGACUCCCCUGCUUGAACUAUGGAGAGAAUUUUCAAGAGGAUAAAUUUGCAUGGUCUGAUUAUGGUGCAUUAUGAGACAGCUAGAGAAAAGACCAAGAACUGGACAGUACAACUGAACAUUCAGCAGUAAAGGAUAUGUCUGC